rnacentral:misc_RNA from 1 species
AAGUCGUAACAAGGUUUCCGUAGGUGAACCUGCGGAAGGAUCACUAGUGAUUUGUGGUGCAUGGAUUGGCAUCACUACAUUUACGCGUGUAGAGUGUGGCAGAGUAAACCGUAUGAUGAUGAUACAACUUUUAACAAUGGAUCUCUUGGCUCUU